AAGGGCAAGCACUCAACUCGCCCUCUCUCAGCUGUGCAGGCUCAGUAAGUCUAGCAGGCAUUAGGCAAACAGGAGUUAAAAAAAAAUCCAUAGAAACGUAUCUUUUUCAUAAGAGACAGGAGGUAUUACUCUCAGGAACAAAAUUAUUGAGUAAGAUGGUGCCAUUUUUACAUAAAUGCUUUGCAGACUUGACCUGCGCUUUAAAAUAAGAUACAUGUGUAUAUAUUUUAAAAACAAACCAACAAACACAACCAUAAAGACCAGUGGAAAAAAUAAAAAGAAAUAAAGCCGUAACUGGACUGAAGCUGGUAACAGCAAGAAGAACAGGACUAUGAGUGUCCAGUUUUGAUCACCAAUGUAUCUAUUCCCAGAAGAUGUAGAGAAACUGGAAAGGAUCCCGAGGCAAGCGACAAAAAUGAUCAAAGGGAUGGAAUGCAAGGCUGAAGGAAUUGGAAGGAGCUGGGUGGCAGCCUGAGAAGGAGUUGAAGCGACAUGAGCAGAGUGGUAUGAGGACUUUGAAGAGGAAUAAAUGAAGGGAGCUUGUACAGAGUAGCAGAAUGGGCCUGAAGCCCGACUACCUAAUUCCUUCCAAAGGACCAAGGCUGAAGCUUUUUGGUAGAGGAAGGGAGAGCAGACUGAACUUCCCCUUCACCUCCCCACUGUUCCAAAAAAAGGACUUGGACAUACACCCCAGAGACUCCUGUGAACCAGGGACACUAGCGGGAAGAUUUUGUGUGGACUUGAAUUGAAUAUUUUUGGUUUAGCAGAAGGCUAAACUACUGAGCCAGCAAGAAAAAUGAAGUAAGUGGCUCCCGCAGUAUCCUAAAACUUGACAGAAAGAUGGCUGGCCACCAUGGAUGGCACAGGGCUCCCGAAAGCAACGUAGAAGAAUGUCAGACCAGCUUGGGACUGAAUUUCAGCAUCCUAUUUCCACCAGAAAAGACAGCAGAGCUGCUCCACAGGUAGAUUACCUCCCCAUAAUCAUUAAUUUUCUUAUCAUGAGGAAGUCACAUUAAU